GAUGAACGCUGGCGGCGUGCCUAAUACAUGCAAGUCGAGCGAACAGACGAGGAGCUUGCUCCUCUGACGUUAGCGGCGGACGGGUGAGUAAAACGUGGAUAACCUACCUAUAAGACUGGGAUAACUUCGGGAAACCGGAGCUAAUACCGGAUAAUAUAUUGAACCGCAUGGUUCAAUAGUGAAAGACGGUUUUGCUGUCACUUAUAGAUGGAUCCGCGCCGCAUUAGCUAGUUGGUAAGGUAACGGCUUACCAAGGCAACGAUGCGUAGCCGAGCUGAGAGGGUGAUCGGCCACACUGGAACUGAGACACGGUCCAGACUCCUACGGGAGGCAGCAGUAGGGAAUCUUCCGCAAUGGGCGAAAGCCUGACGGAGCAACGCCGCGUGAGUGAUGAAGGUCUUCGGAUCGUAAAACUCUGUUAUUAGGGAAGAACAAAUGUGUAAGUAACUAUGCACGUCUUGACGGUACCUAAUCAGAAAGCCACGGCUAACUACGUG
rnacentral:rRNA from 1 species